AGACCCGAAACCCGGUGAUCUAGCCAUGGGCAGGUUGAAGGUUGGGUAACACUAACUGGAGGACCGAACCGACUAAUGUUGAAAAAUUAGCGGAUGACCUGUGGCUGGGGGUGAAAGGCCAAUCAAACCGGGAGAUAGCUGGUUCUCCCCGAAAGCUAUUUAGGUAGCGCCUCGUGAAUUCAUCUCCGGGGGUAGAGCACUGUUUCGGCUAGGGGGCCAUCCCGGCUUACCAACCCGAUGCAAACUGCGAAUACCGGAGAAUGUUAUCACGGGAGACACACGGCGGGUGCUAACGUCCGUCGUGAAGAGGGAAACAACCCAGACCGCCAGCUAAGGUCCCAAAGUCAUGGUUAAGUGGGAAACGAUGUGGGAAGGCCCAGACAGCCAGGAUGUUGGCUUAGAAGCAGCCAUCAUUUAAAGAAAGCGUAAUAGCUCACUGGUCGAGUCGGCCUGCGCGGAAGAUGUAACGGGGCUAAACCAUGCACCGAAGCUGCGGCAGCGACACUGUGUGUUGUUGGGUAGGGGAGCGUUCUGUAAGCCUGUGAAGGUGUGUCGUGAGGCAUGCUGGAGGUAUCAGAAGUGCGAAUGCUGACAUAAGUAACGAUAAAGCGGGUGAAAAGCCCGCUCGCCGGAAGACCAAGGGUUCCUGUCCAACGUUAAUCGGGGCAGGGUGAGUCGACCCCUAAGGCGAGGCCGAAAGGCGUAGUCGAUGGGAAACGGGUUAAUAUUCCCGUACUUGGUGUUACUGCGAAGGGGGGACGGAGAAGGCUAUGUUGGCCGGGCGACGGUUGUCCCGGUUUAAGCGUGUAGGUGUGUGUUCCAGGUAAAUCCGGUUCACUUUAACACUGAGGCGUGACGACGAGGCACUACGGUGCUGAAGCAACAAAUGCCCUGCUUCCAGGAAAAGCCUCUAAGCAUCAGGUAACAUCAAAUCGUACCCCAAACCGACACAGGUGGUCAGGUAGAGAAUACCAAGGCGCUUGAGAGAACUCGGGUGAAGGAACUAGGCAAAAUGGUGCCGUAACUUCGGGAGAAGGCACGCUGACACGUAGGUGAAGUGAUUUACUCAUGGAGCUGAAGUCAGUCGAAGAUACCAGCUGGCUGCAACUGUUUAUUAAAAACACAGCACUGUGCAAACACGAAAGUGGACGUAUACGGUGUGACGCCUGCCCGGUGCCGGAAGGUUAAUUGAUGGGGUCAGCGCAAGCGAAGCUCCUGAUCGAAGCCCCGGUAAACGGCGGCCGUAACUAUAACGGUCCUAAGGUAGCGAAAUUCCUUGUCGGGUAAGUUCCGACCUGCACGAAUGGCGUAAUGAUGGCCAGGCUGUCUCCACCCGAGACUCAGUGAAAUUGAACUCGCUGUGAAGAUGCAGUGUACCCGCGGCAAGACGGAAAGACCCCGUGAACCUUUACUAUAGCUUGACACUGAACAUUGAGCCUUGAUGUGUAGGAUAGGUGGGAGGCUUUGAAGCGUGGACGCCAGUCUGCGUGGAGCCG
rnacentral:rRNA from 3 species